rnacentral:SRP_RNA from 14 species
GCGCGCGGAGGUUUCGGACCUCUAUUCCCCCACUGGAGAGGCGAGGCUGGACUCACAGAGCAGC